AAGGCACUUUUCAAAUCGAACUGCUGGCCGUCGAACCGUGCUCCAACAGUACCACUGAACCGUUCAAACUGUGCCUGACCGUGAACAAACGGGAUUCGACGGUGUACAUCUUCGCCUCCAUGAAGAUUCCGUUCGACAACAGCCUGUCGUUUUCGGUGAACAUGGCCCGCCUGAAAAACGGAAAAUACCAAAACAACUGUUUCGUGGCCACCAUGCCCAGGGCUUGCGACACCAUCAGGAGCAUACAGAUGAGCAGCUGGGCCAAACUGACCAAACGAAUGGGAGCUCCGAUCGACUGCCCUUGGCCCGCCGUACGUCCAAACAGUAAACUCGUUCCAGAAACUACUCGGGAGUGGCGUACGACUUGCCGGACUUGGACAAGUUCCGGUGGGCUCCGGAGUUCUUCUACGGCACGUACAGAGUUCAAAUAGUGUUUCGCGACAUCCAAAACGCGCACGUGGGUUCGGUGAUGUUUUACAUAAAGUUGAAAAAAAGAAACACUUGAAAAAAAAAAUGAAAACCAAGAAAAUGUCUCCAUAUUUUAAUUCAGU